rnacentral:rRNA from 1 species
GAGUUUGAUCCUGGCUCAGAACGAACGCUGGCGGCAGGCCUAACACAUGCAAGUCGAACGCGUGUAGCAAUACACGAGUGGCGCACGGGUGAGUAACACGUGGGAAUCAACCCAGAGGUUCGGAAUAACCGCGGGAAACUGCGGCUAAUACCGGAUAUCCCCUACGGGGGAAAGAUUUAUCGCCUUUGGACGAGCCCGCGUCCGAUUAGCUAGUUGGUGAGGUAACGGCUCACCAAGGCUACGAUCGGUAGCUGGUCUGAGAGGAUGACCAGCCACACUGGAACUGAGAUACGGUCCAGACUCCUACGGGAGGCAGCAGUGGGGAAUAUUGGGCAAUGGAGGCAACUCUGACCCAGCCAUGCCGCGUGGGUGACGAAGGUCUUCGGAUUGUAAAGCCCUUUCGGCGGGGACGAUGAUGACGGUACCCGCAGAAGAAGCCCCGGCUAACUUCGUGCCAGCAGCCGCAGUAAU